GUGGGGAAUCUUGCGCAAUGGGCGAAAGCCUGACGCAGCCAUGCCGCGUGAAUGAUGAAGGUCUUAGGAUUGUAAAAUUCUUUCACCGGGGACGAUAAUGACGGUACCCGGAGAAGAAGCUCCGGCUAACUUCGUGCCAGCAGCCGCGGUAAUACGAAGGGGGCUAGCGUUGCUCGGAAUUACUGGGCGUAAAGGGCGCGUAGGCGGACAGCUUAGUCAGAGGUGAAAGCCCAGGGCUCAACCUUGGAAUUGCCUUUGAUACUGGCUGUCUUGAGUGUGGGAGAGGUGAGUGGAACUCCGAGUGUAGAGGUGAAAGUCGUAGAUAUUCGGAAGAACACCAGUGGCGAAGGCGACUCACUGGCCCAAUACUGACGCUGAGGCGCGAAAGCGUGGGGAGCAAACAGGAUUAGAAACCCGAGUAGUCC
rnacentral:rRNA from 1 species